GAUGAACGCUGGCGGCGUGCCUAAUACAUGCAAGUCGAGCGAACGGACGAGAAGCUUGCUUCUCUGAUGUUAGCGGCGGACGGGUGAGUAACACGUGGAUAACCUACCUAUAAGACUGGGAUAACUUCGGGACACCGGAGCUAAUACCGGAUAAUAUUUUGAACCGCAUGGUUCAAAAGUGAAAGACGGUCUUGCUGUCACUUCUAGAUGGAUCCGCGCUGCAUUAGCUAGUUGGUAAGGUAACGGCUUACCAAGGCAACGAUGCAUAGCCGACCUGAGAGGGUGAUCGGCCACACUGGAACUGAGACACGGUCCAGAGUCCUACGGGAGGCAGCAGUAGGGAAUCUUACGCAAUGGGCGAAAGCCUGACGGAGCAACGCCACGUGAGUGAUGAAGGUCUUCGGAUCGUAAAACUCUGUUAUUAGGGAAGAACAUAUGUGUAAGUAACUGUGCACAUCUUGACGGUACCUAAUCAGAAAGCCACGGCUAACUACGUG
rnacentral:rRNA from 1 species